GAGGGCAUAGCUUAGUGGUAGAGCACAUGCUUAGCAUGCAUGAGGUCCUGAGUUCAAGCCCCAGUACCUUCA
rnacentral:tRNA from 1 species